rnacentral:rRNA from 1 species
UACGUAGGGGGCAAGCGUUGUCCGGAAUCAUUGGGCGUAAAGCGCGUGUAGGCGGCCCGAUAAGUCCGCUGUGAAAGUCCAGGGCUCAACCCUGGAAUGCCGGUGGAUACUGUCGGGCUCGAGUCCGGAAGAGGCGAGUGGAAUUCCUGGUGUAGCGGUGAAAUGCGCAGAUAUCAGGAGGAACACCAAUGGCGAAGGCAGCUCGCUGGGGCGGUACUGACGCUGAGACGCGAAAGCGUGGGGAGCAAACAGG